GAGGCGGUGCCCGAGGCUGUGCCCGAUGCCGAAGCGGUGCCCGAUGCUGUUCCGGAGGCCGAGGCGGUGCCCGAUGUUGUUCCGGAGACCGAGGCGGGGCCCGAUGCUGUUCCGGAGGCCGAGGCGGAGGCCGAGGCGGUGCACGAGAUGGUUCCGGAGGUCGAGGCGGUGCCCGAUGCGCAGGCCGAGGCGAUGCCCGUGUCCAGGGCCGUUCCCGAGGCGGUGUCCUUGUCCCAUGCCGUUCCGGAGGCCGCUCCCAGGGCGGUGCCCGAGGUCGUUCCCGAGGUGAUACCCGUGUCCAAGGCCGUUCCCGAGGCGGUGCCCUUGUCCAAGGCCGUUCCCGAGGCGGUGCCCUUGUCCAAGGCCGUUCCCGAGGCGGUGCCCUUGUCCAAGGCCGUUCCCGAGGCGGUGUCCAAUGCCGUGACCGGGCCAUCGCCACAGUCUGCUCCUCACUGGCUCCCCGAAUGGCAGGUUCCGUUCGGGCCACUCAAAUGGCGAAUUCCUCCCUGGCCAUCUGCACAACGAGAAUGGACUGAUCCACCGUGGCCACCUGAACUGCCUGGCCCCUCGUGGUCCCCUGAACUUUUGGGUCCACCGUGGCCACCUGAACUGCCUGGUCCCUCGUGGUCCCCUGAACUUUCGGGUCCACCAUGGCCCCCUGAUCUGACCGAGCCACCUGGGCUGCCAGGGGAGCCAUCGCUGCCGGUCCCAGUUCCCUUACACGGGCCUGGCCCGCC
ensembl:lncRNA